rnacentral:tRNA from 1 species
ACCCAGGUGGCGGAAUCGGUAGACGCGCUGGUCUCAAACACCAGUGAUGCAAGUCGUGCGGGUUCGAGUCCCGCCCUGGGUACCA